UUGUAUACCGGAGGAGGAGGUGGUGGAGGAGACUUAUACUUGUAAACUGGGUGUGGUACCGGAUGAGGAGGUGGUGGUGGUGAC